CGUCGGGACCGGGAUCCGGUGCGGAGAGCCGUUGUCUUGGGAAACGGGGUGCGGCC
rnacentral:miRNA from 1 species